rnacentral:lncRNA from 1 species
UCUGGUCGUGUGCGGAAUGUAAUUCCAGGGUACGGGCGGGUGCUCGCCCCAGGUAACGACCGGCUUAUGAUUGGUCUUUACCAUGGCAGCGCGUCACUCGAGCAAACAAGGCAGUAGGAACAAGGCAAGGCGAAGAGUUGUUUUUCGCCCAGAUCACACACAACCUUUGUCAAAAACAGUCAACGGUUUACUGAUAUGUUUGACAAACAACGCAGUCCUGAAUAAAGCAUGCGUGGCCUGAUAUGAACUUCAACUUUAGGAUGGUAACUUAAAGUAAAACUUCAUAUUUUCGGAAUUCCCAUGGGCGGAUUCCCAUGCUGGUUUUUUGGUUUAGUCAGAAAUGAAACCUAGAAACCCAACAACAACCAUGAGAUCCACUUACGUGGGCGAUCAAAAUGAGCAGCUGACGCAUCACCAAGGGUGGAUCACUGAUUAGGCUACUGUCCGAAGGUCACCUGCAGAGAAAGCUAUAUGACCAGGCGACUUCCUCUUUAGGUAUUAGUAGCAGAGAGACUAAAGCGUGACAACAAGCCAGGCAUAUCUUGGAAAUUACAUUUUAUUUGAAUUUAGCUUUUUUCUUUUAAUCAACGUUUCGUUUCUGAGGGUUCUUCAUGGAUUUCUGGACUUCAUUGGCAGCAGGUGUUGCCUUGCUCUGGCUCCUGUGUUUUAUAGACGGCAACGUUGUGCACGAGCUGCGACUGCUCUUCCAGGCUCUCACCAAGCUGGCAUGCCACCUCUACUUGGCGAUCCUCCAGCUGCGCCGCGGCGCGAGCCACUUCAUCCGCAGCGCGAGCAACUUCAUGAACCGCACCCAGCAGCAGCCCCCUCCAUAUUCCCCAAAAGGAAACACGAAACACAGCGCCCACCACCAACCUCAUUGGCGGAGGGGCACGCUACACUUCAUAGAAGCGAUGUGCUUGGUGUGUGAAGCAGUUCCCAAUCUGACGUGCGCGGUGCUGCUCAGCUUGGGCGAGGCGCUCUGCCACGCCCUGCAGGGUUUUUCUUACGUGCUCUUUGCUCCGUUACGCUCCAUUCAGGCGUUUCUGUUCUCGCAAAUGAACGGAGAGAAAGAGAGGUGGGACAAAGAGCGCCACCUCGCGAAAGAGACCGAGAAAAAUAUGAACUCCAAAGUGCUUGAGUACAUCUCGCUGUGUGGUCAAGACCCCUUCACUGCUCUGCGAAGAGUGGCCGUGCCCCCGAGAUAAAAUAUCAUUAUUCAUCGCUUACCAUAUUAUAAUGUAGGGGAUACAUGUAAGAUAAUGCUUUAUAUUGGCUGACUGGCACUAAAGGGCGCUUUGUGUAGUCGCUAUAGGAGAUAUGUGGCUGAAAAGCAUUCAUUGUGUGCAAUAGUUGUGGCUUGAAAAGAGUACUUUGUAACCGGCGAUGAACGAAAUAUAAAGAAAAUAUUUGUUCUAUUACGCAGCCUGUGAAUUGUAUACAUCUGCAAUAAAGUUACAUUUAUUUAUUUUUUUAUUUUCUUUUUGUGGCAGAUACUGGCCUACAGAAAUGAAAGAGAAAUCUCUCAAACAACAUUUCUAUUCAGAUAGUAGGCCUAUGUUAUAAUGCGUUAUGCAACACAUUUAGCUUACUCUAUGGCCUAUUAGGGUAAGUUUUCGGCCUCCAACUGUUCCUAAAUAGAUAAAGUUUGGAUGAUAACUAAUUGGAGACAAUUGAAAGUCAUGUGUAACAUUGUUGAGUAGUUGUAGUACCUGUUAUGGCGCGCUUUAUUGUCAACGGGGGAGGGGGGAGGAUGUUUUAAGUGCAAUAUUUAUUCAUAACAUCAGAAUAUAACAUAAGAAUAAUAAGUCAAAGUUAGAUCAAAUUAAUAGUGCAUAUAUUUCAGCUUUCUUUAGACCGUUUCCGGUCAGGAUUUUAUUUUUAUUUUCAUACUUGGGCGAUGUGGUCUGACCAGUGGGGGCCGUGGCCCCCCCUGGCACCCAUGUGGCUACGCCCCUGGCUAUACAUGACACAGUACCGACCUGAUAUUUGACUACCUUAUUCUAUGGCCUGACUUGGACUCCCACACCGAACCUUGACCCUGUCGGACAGAAAUUGGUGAUAGGCCUACAUCCUCAUCCCCAAUCACAAUCCCUGGACGAUUAUCUAUGCAAUAUUUGGUUCGCAGCGAUAGCAGCGUCUAUAUAUCAACCACCAUAUCAACGUUAGAAAACAGUAUACCGUAAUGACCCGAAUAAAGGACGAACCCACUUUUCAGACGCAUUUCCAGGAAAAUAAACUCGUCCUAUAUUUGGGUCAUUAUAGUCUUAACAUUUGUUUGGCGCGAACCAAAAGAAUAUUUGUAAUAACUUUCAAACUAAACGUUUAGAAUUACUGAUUGAAGAUUAAGACAAUUAAAUGUAUAUUUCUCGGUAGAAAGGUUAUCAAAACCCAAUUUAAUGCCGAAUCUAUAUCAAAAUAUUGCAAUUUCCUCUGAGAAUAAAAGCCUAUUUUUGUGCGCAAAUGUUGCUCCUGUUGCUGUUAGUUCGUAUGAAUCUUACGAACAUUUUUGCAUAACCCUUUAAGAUAUCAUGCAAAGCAUUGUUUGAGGAUACGUUGCAUAGAUCGACCCAUCGGGCUGUCUGUGCCUGAAUGCGGGGGAGAAACCUGCUGAGCUGCCCUCACCAGCCGUCCCUUCUCCAGCUCGGCCCAGGUAACGACCGGCUGAUUGGUGCUUGCCAUUGGCAGCGCGUCACUCGAGCACACAAGGCAGUAGGAACAAGGCAAGGGGAAGAGUUGUUUAUCCCCCAGAUCACACGCAACCUUUGAUUGAACCUAUUGAUUUGUUUGACCAGCAACGCAGUCCUAAAUAAAGCAUGCAAAGCCUUCAGAAAUAGGCAAUUCAAUUCCAACACACUGUUUAAGUAUAAUGCUGCCUUAUGGGUAGACGUAGACCUGGCUUGCAACAAAGGUAUUAGUACACCUGACAGAGGGCGUAUUCCAAUGCUGGUUUGUCGGUUUAGUCAGAAACGAAACCUAAAAACCCAACAACAACGACGAUCUCCUCUUCCGUGGUAGCAGGGCGAUCAGAAUGAGCAGCUGACGCAUCACCAAUCUUUACCAUUAACUAUUAGCUGAGGCAACUCCCGGAGGACCCCUGCAGAGAAAGCUAUACGACCAUGAGCAACUUAAUGUUAAGGUAGGGUAUUAGUAGCAGAGAGACGAUAGCGUGACAAGCAAGGCAUAUCUUGAAAUUACAUUUUAUUUUAUGAUUAUUUUUGGUUUCAGAGAGGACUUCAUGGAUUGGUGGACUUCAUGUUAUUGCCUUGCUCUGGAUCCUUUGCUUUUUAGACGGUAAGAGACCAGAGUGUCCGACAUGAUUGGGAACCGCUUUAUAAUAGACACCAAGUCAGCGUCUGGGGAAUCCAGGAAAGUUUGUUGACGUCAGUGCCUGCCCUGCCAAGAAUUGUGAGCCAAAACUAUUACUUUUUUUAUUCUCAGUGUUUAAAUUCCAAUUGAAAAAGGGGUUUUCCCUACACUUUAAAGUGCAAGUGAACCAACUGUUUCAGCUGCAAUUAGAACAAAAGUAAUCGUUUUGGCUCACAGUUAUGCAGGUAAGGAACUGACUUGGAAAAUAAGAAAGAAAAUGGUCUGAGGGUUCUGGGAAGGAGCGUUGGGCACGGCAACGGGAAGGCGCGCGUGAUCACGGCGCGUGUCCCUAACGGCGUGCGUGAGGGACAAAAGUUGAACUUCGGUUAACUUUAUGCAAAUAAUCACGACUCUGACACCCGGUACUCUUUAUCCCCAGGCAACGCGGUGCACGAGCUGCGGCUGCUCUUCCAGGCGCUAACCAAGGCGACAUGCCACCUCUACUUGGCGAUCCUCCAGCUACGUCGCGCGGCCAGCCACAUCAUCCGCGGCGCGAGCAACUUCUUGAACCGCGCCCAACAGCAGCCCCCUCCAUAUUCCCCAAAAGGAAACACGAAACACAGCGCCCACCACCAACCUCAUUGGCGGAGGGGCACGCUACACUUCAUAGAAGCGAUAUGCUUGGUGUGUGAAACAGUUCCCAAUCUGACGUGCGCGGUGCUGCUCAGCUUGGGCGAGGCGCUCUCCCACGCCUUGCAGGGUUUUUUUUGCGUGCUGGCCGCCCCGUUACGCUCCAUUCAGGCGUUUCUGUUCUCGCAAAUGAACGGAGAGAAAGAGAGGUGGGACAAAGAGCGCCACCGCUUGAAGGAGACCGAGAAAAAUAUGAACUCCAAAGUGCUGGAGUACAUCUCGCUGUGUGGUCAAGACCCCUUCACUGCUCUUCGAAGAGUGGCCGUGCCCCCGAGAUAAAAUAUCUUUAUUCAUCGCUCACCAUAUUAUAAUGUAGGGGAUACAUGUAAGAUAAUGCUUUAUAUUGGCUGACUGGCACUAAAGGGCGCUUUGUGUAGUCGCUAAAGGAGUUAUGUGGCUGAAAAGCAUUCAUUGUGUGCAAUAGUUGUGGCUUGAAAAGAGUGCUUUGUAACCGGGGAUGAAACAAAUAUAAUAAAAAACAUAUUUGUUCUACAACGCAGCCUGUGAAUUGUAUACAUCUUCAGUUAAGUU